UACGUAUGGUGCAAGCGUUGUCCGGAUUUACUGGGUGUAAAGGGAGCGCAGGCGGCGCGUUAAGCCUGGUGUGAAAGCCCGCGGCCCAACCGCGGGACUGCAUUGGGAACUGGCGCGCUGGAGUGCCGGAGGGGUAGGCGGAAUUCCUAGUGUAGCGGUGAAAUGCGUAGAUAUUAGGAGGAACACCAGUGGCGAAGGCGGCCUACUGGACGGUGACUGACGCUGAGGCUCGAAAGCGUGGGGAGCAAACAGG
rnacentral:rRNA from 1 species